AGUGAAAUUGCUGGGAUAUGGUAACUAUAAAUUCAACACUUUGAGGCAACAUCAAAUUGUUUACUCAUGUAACUGUACCAUUUUACAUCCCCACCAGCAAU
rnacentral:miRNA from 1 species